UUUGUGAUGAUGUGGAAGAAAGAG
rnacentral:miRNA from 1 species